rnacentral:rRNA from 1 species
GGGCUAGUAGGCGCAUCUGGGCGUGGGGGGCUUCACCCCCUCCGUGCCGCAGCUAACGUGUUAAGUAUGCCGCCUGGGGAGUACGGCCGCAAGGCUAAAACUCAAAGAAAUUGACGGGGGCCCGCACAAGCGGAGGAGCAUGUGGCUUAAUUCGAUGCAACGCGAAGAACCUUACCUGGGUUUGACAUGUACCUGCACGUCCCGUGAAAACGGGAUUCCUUCGAGGGUGGUACACAGGUGCUGCAUGGCUGUCGUCAGUUCGUGCCGUGAGGUGUUUGGUUAAGUCCAGCAACGAACGCAACCCCUGUGCCCAAUUGCCAGCGCGUAAUGGCGGGAACUAUGGGCAGACUGCCUGUUUACACAGGAGGAAGGUGGGGACGACGUCAAGUCAGUAUGGCCCUUACAUCCAGGGCUGCACACGUGCUACAAUGGCCGGUACAAAGGGACGCAAGACCGCGAGGUGGAGCAAACCCCCAGAGCCGGCCCCAGUUCAGAUUGCAGUCUGCAACCCGACUGCAUGAAGUUGGAUUCGCUAGUAACGGCGUAUCAGCUACGGCGCCGUGAAUACGUUCCCGGGCCUUGUACACACCGCCCGUCACAUCAUGAAAGCCGUCUGCACCCAAAGCCGCCUUUUGAACCCGCAAGGGACAAGGGCGUCCAAGGUGUGGGUGGUGAUUGGGAUGAAGUCGU